GUUCUGAUAGCUCAGUGGUAGAGCGGGCGACUCCAGUUGAUGGAUACAUCGUCAGGUCGGGCGUUCAAUCCGCUCUCGGGACU
rfam:Leucosporidium creatinivorum strain 62-1032 BCR35scaffold_12, whole genome shotgun sequence.